CCUANGGGUGGCAGCAGUAAGGAAUAUUAGUUAAUCUGCGAAAGCGGGAACUAGCAACGCCGCGUGUGCGAUGAAGGCCUUCGGGUCGUAAAGCACUUUUUGACGGGAUGAGGAAGGACAGUACCGUCAGAAUAAGCCUCGGCUAACUACGUGCCAGCAGCCGCGGUAACACGUAGGAGGCAAGCGUUAUUCGGAUUUACUGGGUGUAAAGCGCGUGCAGGCGGUUUGGUUAGUUGGAUGUGAAAGCUCCUGGCUUAACUGGGAGAGGUCGUUCAAUACUGCCAGACUUGAGGAUGGGAGAGGAAAGUGGAAUUCCGAGUGUAGUGGUGAAAUGCGUAGAUAUUCGGAGGAACACCAGUGGCGAAAGCGGCUUUCUGGCCCAUUUCUGACGCUCAGACGCGAAAGCUAGGGUAGUAAACGGGAUUAGAUACCCCGNUANUC
rnacentral:rRNA from 1 species